GCGCACGGCACGCAACAACACACGGCGCCUGUGACGUGGAACCAAUAGCGUGCCUUUUGCACGCGGCUCCCGGUUUGCGCAAGAACGAGUACAAAAAACGCGGCGCGCAGUUCAAAAGCAGCGUCGGGAAAGCGCUCGCGCCAUUUGCUCGAAUCGGCGAAUGAACACCACCGUCUACUCCGAAGGCCAUGGACCGCGCUUGCAAAUGCGAAGACCCCAAAUUCACGUGCACCGAACACUGCAAGUGUACCACCAAGUGCAAGUAGCGGGACCGGAAUGUGAAGCGAACAAGCACCGCUCGCUUCUGGAAGCCAGUGCCAAGUCACGCAGCAAAGCAUCCUUCUGAAUUUUGUGUUUAGCUGUAAUACAAACAGGCAGUGAACCACUUAAUGUGAAAUUUUCUUCGUGCCGCACAGUGUAAAUAAAGCAAAA